rnacentral:rRNA from 1 species
AUUGAACGCUGGCGGCAUGCCUUACACAUGCAAGUCGAACGGUAACAGGUCUUCGGAUGCUGACGAGUGGCGAACGGGUGAGUAACACAUCGGAACGUGCCCGAUCGUGGGGGAUAACGAAGCGAAAGCUUUGCUAAUACCGCAUAAGAUCUACGGAUGAAAGCAGGGGACCGCAAGGCCUUGCGCGAACGGAGCGGCCGAUGGCGGAUUAGGUAGUAGGUGGGAUAAAAGCUUACCAAGCCGACGAUCUGUAGCUGGUCUGAGAGGACGACCAGCCACACUGGGACUGAGACACGGCCCAGACUCCUACGGGAGGCAGCAGUGGGGAAUUGUGGACAAUGGGCGAAAGCCUGAUCCAGCCAUGCCGCGUGCAGGAUGAAAGCCUUCGGGUUGUAAACUGCUUUUGUACGGAACGAAAAGACUCUUUCUAAUAAAGAGGAUCCAUGACGGUACCGUAAGAAUAAGCACCGGCUAACUACGUGCCAGCAGCCGCAGUAAAAC